AAUCUUCAAAGUAACGGCCAUUACCAUUAUUUAAUGGCCGUUAUCAUUACCGUUAUGUAACAGCGUAACGGCUGCAACUCCUUGUGUGCCUGCAAAUAAUGGCCUCAUGGGUAACGGCACCCUUCAAAACUUGUAAAUAAUAGCCGUUACAUUACAUAACGGACAUUGUUUGAAACCAUGAGUAAGAGUAUGACAUAGGACAGCAUGGGACAGCUUGUAAGACUGAAUAUUAAGGCUGGAUUUUGGGUUAUUUGAAAGUUAAAAUUAUUAGAAAUAUAGGUGGACAAUUAGGGUUUGUAAAAAGGUGGGAUUGAGAAGUGAAAACAAACAUUCAACUGUGGCAUUGCACUAUCACUGCAGUUUCUUGUCCAAAGAAAGUCAUCAACGUUGCAAUUAGUGAAACGUUUCAAAGGGUAAAAGUGAGCAAAGCAAACAAUGGAAAAGUAAGAAUCAAAACAAGAAGGAUUUUUUUUUAAGGGCUCAAUGACCAAAAAAAAUGUUAAUCUUUGGGUGUUUUCGAAUUAUAUCAGAGCUUUUUAACUGGGAA
rnacentral:misc_RNA from 1 species